rnacentral:rRNA from 1 species
CGAGUCGGCCUGCGCGGAAGAUGUAACGGGGCUAAACCAUGCACCGAAGCUGCGGCAGCGACGCUUAUGCGUUGUUGGGUAGGGGAGCGUUCUGUAAGCCGUUGAAGGUGUCCUGUGAGGGGUGCUGGAGGUAUCAGAAGUGCGAAUGCUGACAUAAGUAACGAUAAAGCGGGUGAAAAGCCCGCUCGCCGGAAGACCAAGGGUUCCUGUCCAACGUUAAUCGGGGCAGGGUG